rnacentral:lncRNA from 7 species
GAGGUUGGAAGAACUCUCCUGGAGCUCCUGUUAGCAGAAUGGAACUGGGGACUCUGUGCAGCCGAGCUCCAGCUGAUUGCGCGCAAGAGUUCAAGGCAGCGUGAUUGACUGCGCCUGCCCCCCGCCAUCUCUGUGAUCAAAUCACAUUUGCCUAGUUUAUGUUUCUCCCCUUUCUCUGCGUGAAAGUGUCAAGCAAACAAAGGAGAGACAAGUAAUGGAAGGGGGGGAAAAAAAAUAAAAAGCAGAGCCACGUGAGUACAAAGUGCUUCCAGAGACAUAAAAUAAGCAGUUGGAAAAAAUGGGGAACAAUAUUGCCUUUAAUCUCCAAGAUAACCAGGUGCAGUCAUCCUGGAUGUUACUACUAACAUCUGUGGCUUAAAAAAAAAAAAUAGAAAGUCAACCUGUAGCUGAGUCAUUAAGUUCAGAGUGUCACUGCAAGGAUGGCUUUAAAAACAAACAGGAAUACACAGCAUCUCUGAAAGUAAGAAGGAUUCGAGAGGAGCUUGUUAAAGUGAGAGAUGCUUAUUUUGUCACCAUUGUAGCGAGGGACAAAGUCAGUUCAGGGGUUGAUGGUUGAUUUCUGUUUUAUCUGCUCGCUUCAGUGAUGGUGUGAGCUUAAGGUACGUGUGAGGAGGCAAGAGGGCACAUUUGGUGGCCAACUACGCUAGGUUUUGAUCCAAGCAACUUCCUCACGUUGUGAAGCAGGAGAAAAAUUAAGUCCAAGAGUGUGGCUAUCAUUUCCAAGAUAUCUCAAUGCAACACCAUGAAAGCCACCUGAAGUGAACAAGAACAGCAGAAAGCAGAGUAAGGAUGGACCAAUAUUUCUGUCGCUGAGAGGAAUCCCCCAGCCCACGUGCUAGGGCAGCUUCAAGCAUUGACUCAUCUGCUGUGAGAGCAAAUCAUGCUCUGUCAGAGAGAGGUAUAAGAAAAAGUGCUGGAAAAGGGGAAAUAAUGCCAGGGCAGGAAGCUUGUGUGUCCUUCAUGGUAAACGGGAGCAGUGCCUGUGAAGACAGACCCUUCACUUCAACCACAGGGAAGAAGAGUGUUGACAAAGCACCCAUCUCACGCUGCUCUUCCAAUAAUAGCUUCUCUACAACAAAAGAGGCUGGAGAGGCUGUUCUCAACUAACUUUGCGAUGGCGAAACUUGUCCGGAGACCUUUUGUAUGCUAAGUUUCUUGAAUCCAAGCAAUUACAUGCACCUUCCAUAACCACUGUCAUUUCAAUCGACUGUACUCCUCGAGUGGAAAGGGUGGGUGUGAUGUACUGUUACAGAGGUUAAUAGGACACGCCAGAAGCCUCAAGAACUCUUCAGCAUUUCUAUCUGGGAUGUGCUAAGAUGGCAGUACUUGCAUGGUGAAUAUAUUUUUACUGUGCUUUUUUAUGAUGUUUUCAUUAUGUGCUUUUAUUAUGUGGUUAUAAGCUGCUAGAAUGGAAACAGGAGCAAUAAAGCUUGAUUGAUCAUUAUAUUCCCAUCUAUAAAUGGGAUUUUUUUUCCGCCACCAUGAACAACAGACAAGUUUGAUCGGGACGCAAGUCCAAGCAUUAAGCCCAUUAAAUCCAGCUCCUCGGGUCAGAUCAGUGCUAAUGUACUCAAGCCUUCUUUAAACCGUCAGACCCUCAGCUUUGAGCAGCUGGAGAGGCAGCUGGGACAGUUGGUGCCCUGUGUGACCCACAGGCCGUGUGGGCUCUGCCACUUCUGAAAUCCCAAAAGCUGGAGCUAAAUUUGGAAACAAAACGGGUUGUCCCGGGCUGUUGCUUGGCAUCUUGUUUCUGAUGUGGUCCAAUUAUGCGGCUCUAAAAUGAGAGUUUUAUGCUCAUUUAG